GAUGAACGUUGGCGGCGUGGAUUAGGCAUGCAAGUCGAGCGAGAACCCAGCAAUGGGGGACAGCGGCGCAAGGGACAGUAAUGUGUAGAUUAUCUGCCCUCAGGACCGGGAUAGCUGCGGGAAACUGCAGGUAAUACCGGAUAACAUCUCCGGAUCAAAGGUGUGAUUCCGCCUGAGGAUGAGUCUACAUCCUAUUAGCUAGUUGGCAGGGUAAUGGCCUACCAAGGCGAUGACGGGUAGCGGGUGUGAGAGCACGACCCGCGUCAUUGGGACUGAGACACUGCCCAGACACCUACGGGUGGCUGCAGUCGAGAAUCUUCGGCAAUGGGCGCAAGCCUGACCGAGCGACGCCGCGUGUGGGAUGAAGGCCUUCGGGUUGUAAACCACUGUUAGAGGGGAUGAAAUGCAGGUGGGUUCUCCCAUCUGUUUGACAUAGCCUCAGAGGAAGGACGGGCUAAGUUCGUGCCAGCCGCCGCCGUAACAC
rnacentral:rRNA from 1 species